UACGGGGGGGGCAAGCGUUGUUCGGAAUUACUGGGCGUAAAGGGCUCGUAGGUGGCCAACUAAGUCAGACGUGAAAUCCCUCGGCUUAACCGGGGAACUGCGUCUGAUACUGGAUGGCUUGAGUUUGGGAGAGGGAUGCGGAAUUCCAGGUGUAGCGGUGAAAUGCGUAGAUAUCUGGAGGAACACCGGUGGCGAAGGCGGCAUCCUGGACCAACACUGGCACUGAGGAGCGAAAGCCAGGGGAGCAAACGGG
rnacentral:rRNA from 1 species